rnacentral:tRNA from 1 species
GGCCUUGUGGUCUAGUGGUAUGAUUCUCGCUUAAGGUGCGAGAGGCCCCGCGUUCGAGUCGUGGCAAGACCC